rnacentral:rRNA from 1 species
AUUGAACGCUGGCGGCAGGCCUAACACAUGCAAGUCGAGCGACAGGCGGACGGGUGAGUAAUGUCUGGGAACCUGCCUGAUGGAGAGGGCUACCUGCUGGAAACGGUAGUUAAUCACACAUACAAUCAGAUCUGCACAGCUGGGAUUAGCUAGUGGGUUGGGUAACGACCCACCUGGGCGACGAUCCCUAGCUGGUCUGCGAGGAUGACCAGCCACACUGGAACUGAGACACGGUCCAGACUCCUACGGGAGGCAGCAGUGGGGAAUAGUGGACAAUGGGCGAAAGCCUGAUACAGCCAUGCCGCGUGUGUGAAGAAGGCCUUCGGGUUGUAAAGCACUUUCAGCUGGGAGGCGUUACCCGCAGAAGAAGCACCGGCUAACUCCGUGCCAGCAGCCGCGGUAAUUC